ensembl:lncRNA
CACCAACGGUCAAGUUCUUUGUCCUCAGACUUGUGUGGUUGGUGUCCCCUCAUACCAGGGUUCCCAUCCCCUUGACGGCCCCGCACUGGGGAAGGCCUCGAGCUCGCAGCCCAGGCCCCGAGUCUCACGCUGCCCUGACCCUCCGCUGGCCAGAGGCAGGGCCUCACCCUGAUGCCCACAGGCCGCAGAGCCUCUGGGGCCACAGCGGUGAUGGAGGCAUCGAGCAGGCGCAGUGAAGUACACCCGCCAGCUCCCUCUCUAAGGGCUGGGACUCGCGACAAAGCAAAGAAAAGCAGUGCAGUCAGGCCCGCCGGCUCUGCAGCCGAGCGCCGUUGGGGACACCUCAGGCCUGACCGCCCCUCCCUCUCCCGAAGCCCCCGGUCCAGGACUCAGGUCACCAAGAGUGGAGAGUCCGGGUAGCAUGUACGCAGAGCGUGGCUGGCCACUGUGACCUUCUACCGUCGUUUCUCCAAGAAGCAUCAUCGCCAGCAUCAGAAGGGAGAGAAUGAAUCCAUCUUUGUGGGGUGCAGGACUUCCCACCUUGAAGGAGGUCAGAUUCAUGUGUGAG